rnacentral:rRNA from 1 species
GAUGAACGCUGGCGGCGUGCCUAAUACAUGCAAGUCGAGCGAACAGACGAGGAGCUUGCUCCUCUGACGUUAGCGGCGGACGGGUGAGUAACACGUGGAUAACCUACCUAUAAGACUGGGAUAACUUCGGGAAACCGGAGCUAAUACCGGAUAAUAUAUUGAACCGCAUGGUUCAAUAGUGAAAGACGGUUUUGCUGUCACUUAUAGAUGGAUCCGCGCCCCAUUAGCUAGUUGGUAAGGUAACGGCUUACCAAGGCAACGAUGCGUAGCCGACCUGAGAGGGUGAUCGGCCACACUGGAACUGAGACACGGUCCAGACUCCGACGGGAGGCAGCAGUAGGGAAUCUUCCGCAAUGGGCGAAAGCCUGACGGAGCAACGCCGCGUGAGUGAUGAAGGUCUUCGGAUCGUAAAACUCUGUUAUUAGGGAAGAACAAAUGUGUAAGUAACUAUGCACGUCUUGACGGUACCUAAUCAGAAAGCCACGGCUAACUACGUG